rnacentral:miRNA from 1 species
UCUACUGGACUUGGAGUCAGAAGACAUGGGUCCGAACAGUGAGGGUGUGUCUUGUUAGCUGGUUAUCGUAAAUGAAACACAUCUGGUCUCUGAAGUGAA